AUCAACGCUGGCGGCGUGCCUAACACAUGCAGGUCGAACGCGAAAGCCCCGCAAGGGGUAAGUAGAGUGGCAAACGGGUGAGUAACACGUGGGUGACCUGCCUUCGAGUGGGGGAUAACGUCCCGAAAGGGACGCUAAUACCGCAUGACAUCCUGCUUUUGAAAAAGCGGAGAUCAAAGCUGGGGAUCGCAAGACCUAGCGCUUGAAGAGGGGCCCGCGCCUGAUUAGCUAGUUGGUGAGGUAACGGCUCACCAAGGCGACGAUCAGUAUCCGGCCUGAGAGGGCGGACGGACACACUGGGACUGAGACACGGCCCAGACUCCUACGGGAGGCAGCAGUGGGGAAUUGUUCGCAAUGGGCGCAAGCCUGACGACGCAACGCCGCGUGGAGGACGAAGAUCUUCGGGUCGUAAACUCCUGUCGAGCGGGACGAACGCUUCGCGGAUGAAUAAUCCGCGGAAUUGACGGUACCGCUAAAGGAAGCCCCGGCUAACUCCGUG
rnacentral:rRNA from 1 species